UACGAAGGGGGCUAGCGUUGCUCGGAAUUACUGGGCGUAAAGGGCGCGUAGGCGGGUCGUUAAGUUGGGGGUGAAAGCCCAGGGCUCAACCCUGGAAUUGCCUUCAAUACUGGCGACCUUGAGUAUGGCAGAGGUGAGUGGAACUGCGAGUGUAGAGGUGAAAUUCGUAGAUAUUCGCAAGAACACCAGUGGCGAAGGCGGCUCACUGGCCCGGUACUGACGCUGAGGUGCGAAAGCGUGGGGAGCAAACAGG
rnacentral:rRNA from 1 species